rnacentral:rRNA from 1 species
CGGCUAACUCCGUGCCAGCAGCCGCGGUAAUACGGAGGUGGCAAGCGUUGUUCGGAAUUACUGGGCGUAAAGGGCGCGUAGGCGGCUUGGCAAGUCAGAUGUGAAAGCCCCAGGCUUAACUUGGGAACUGCAUCUGAAACUGCUUUGCUUGAGUCCUGGAGGGGGCAGUGGAAUUCCCAGUGUAGCGGUGAAAUGCGUAGAUAUUGGGAGGAACACCGGCGGCGAAGGCGGCUGCCUGGACAGUGACUGACGCUGAUGCGCGAAAGCUAGGGGAGCAAACGGGAUUAGAUACCCCGGUAGUCCUAGCCGUAAACGAUGGGCACUUGGUGUCGGGGGUCUUGAGUCCCUCGGUGCCGGAGUUAACACGUUAAGUGCCCCGCCUGGGGAGUACGGUCGCAAGACUGAAACUCAAAGGAAUUGACGGGGGCCCGCACAAGCGGUGGAGCAUGUGGUUCAAUUCGACGCAACGCGAAGAACCUUACCGGGGCUCGAACGGUGACUGCUAUCCCUGGAAACAGGGAAUUCUCUUCGGAGACGGUUACCGAGGUGCUGCAUGGCUGUCGUCAGCUCGUGUCGUGAGAUGUUGGGUUAAGUCCCGCAACGAGCGCAACC